GGCUGAACCAGCAACUUGGAGGAAUGUAUAGGGAAAACUGGUAAAAUGUGAUGUACCUAGAAGGAUACGGUAAUUUAUAUUAUAUUAACCUUGUCCAUUUUACUUGCCAGUAGAUAUAUGAACACGACAUUAUCUGCUUAUGUCUUGCCCAAGUCACGUGCCAGGGGACCUGGACAGAUUAGCAAGACUAGUGUUGGUCAUCUUUUAUAGGUUUUUAGGGGACCUAGACCGAUUAUUAAGAGGAGAAAUGUACUAAUAGACUACAGUUUAAUGUAAGAAGGAUUGAGUACGGUGAGUGUAGAGAUAAAUUUNGUUGAUACCACUUAGGAACUGGUAAAGGCGAAGGCAACCUUCUAUGUAAAAACUGACGUUAAGGGACGAAGGCUCGAAUUAAAAAAUAGGAUUAGAUACCCUAGUAUUAUGAGCAGAAAAUGAUGAGUGUCAUAUGCAAGAAAUUUUUUGUGUAUAAAUGAAAGUGUAAGCACUCCACCUCAAGAGUAACGUGGCAACAUGGGAACUGAAAUCAAUAGACCGUUUCUGAAACUCGUAGUGAAGUAUGUUGUUUAAUUUGAUAACCCGCAAAUCACCUUACCACAACUUGUAUAACUAUAAGAGAUCGUAAGUAUAGAAAUACAAUAGACCCCCAUUGUAUAGCUAUAUUAUAUAUAUUUAUUGAGAGAUAUAUCAAUAUAACUAUGUAUAGUACAGUAAAUAUAGUUACAAGCGUUGCACGGCUGUCUUCAGUCAAUGUUGUGAAACUUUGGUUAGAUCCAUUAAAUUCACGUAAACCCUUACUUUAUUUAAAAUAAAGUACUUUGCAGAUAUAUUGGUAGUGGGAUAAGGGACCAAGACAAGUGCCCUUAACCUGGUGGUUGUGGGCUAUACACGUNCCACAUUACCAUUAGGAAAAAGAUGCAAAA
rnacentral:rRNA from 1 species